rnacentral:lncRNA from 1 species
AACUCUAAGCUGGGUUUGCAGCUGACCGAGCAGGACGUUUUUCUCAACCACAGGAACUGUCAUUAUCUAGAUGCAUUGGAACUUGCCGUUACACUGUAUAAUGCCCUCAAGCAGUAGCUUUAGAGAGCAGAUUACAUUGUUAAGAAGCAUUUCUGACUGUCUCUUGCCAUCCACAUAUCAAUCAUAUUUCGUCCAGCAAAGAGAAAAAAUAGAAUCAUUCUAAGUAUUUCCCCACUAGUAUAGGAAGGAUAAAAGGAAGCUGAUGAAGGCAGAAUUAUCUGAAAAAUGAUUAGCAUCAGGGAACUCUAAACUUUUGAUGGAAGGUGUUCUCCAAAUAUUUAUUUAGAAGUAUAGGCAUAAGCAAGUGGCAGCUGAUGCUUUUGUAAAUCACCAGCUCAUUACCAAGUUCUAUGUCUAUCAGAAUGUCAGGUGGGGCAUGCCUCAAGUAAAACACUUAGUACAGUGCUCACUAUGCACUAAAUACAAAGUCCUAGUAAGUGAGGGUCCCAGCAAACGAGCUUCACUAUAGUUCAAAGCCUGGUGGUUGGCACAGUGUUAGCGAGCACAGAUUGUCUGAGCUAGGCCAGUGGCUCAUGUACUUUGUCUCUGCCCUAUGCAAAGUAUAUGUAUGAUUUUAUGCAAAUGACCCAAUAGCUCUGUUAAUUAGCACUUUCAUCUGGAUGGUGUGAAUAAAAAGACUACCUCAC